CUCCACCAACGCCCCAGCCCACUCCUAACUACCCCAUCCUCUGGCUCCUCCCACCACAUCAGAAACUCUCUCCCCUGGAAACAGCCUUCUAGGUUGAGAAGGAGAAGCGACCAGGGAAUUAUCUUCCUUUCCCUCGGGAAGGAGCUGAAACGUAUGAACACCACAGCUUCAGGGCCAGGCAAAGUUGGGUUUGUGUCCCAGCAGUACAACUCUCCAGACUUUGAGCCUCACUCUCCUCUUCUAUACAAUGGAGCCAAUGACACCUCUUUCCUGUGUAUUAGAAACACCACCUAAGAAGAUGUAGAUAAAGUGACUGCAAGGACCUCCGCUGACCUGAGCACUUCCUGCAUGAAAGGGGCUCAAUACCAAGGAAGAAAACAGAUACAUGCACCCUUUCUAAGUAGCAAAACUGGGUUCAAAUCCUCGGCUACAUCACUUAUGUGAGAUGAAGUCCCACUAUAUUGCCAAGGCUGGACUUGAAUCCCUAAGCUCAAGUAGUGUUCCCACCUCACCCUCCCAAGUAACUGAGACUACAGGUGCACACCACUGUACCAGCAUAAUUGCAUAUCUUAUCAAUCAAUCCACAGCCACUAAAUACCUACUGAGGUAUCUGUGUCCCCUGGGCUUUUUCCAAGAGCUUUCAAUAUGGUUAGAUUUGUUUAUUAAAUUUGCAUAAAUAUGU
rnacentral:lncRNA from 10 species